rnacentral:rRNA from 1 species
GACGAACGCUGGCGGCGUGCCUAAUACAUGCAAGUCGAGCGAAGUUUUUCUGGUGCUUGCACCGGAAAAACUUAGCGGCGAACGGGUGAGUAACACGUAAAGAACCUGCCUUAUAGACUGGGACAACUAUUGGAAACGAUAGCUAAUACCGGAUAACAGCAUUAACUGCAUGGUUGAUGUUUGAAAGUUGGUUUUGCUAACACUAUGAGAUGGCUUUGCGGUGCAUUAGCUAGUUGGUGGGGUAAAGGCCUACCAAGGCGACGAUGCAUAGCCGACCUGAGAGGGUGAUCGGCCACACUGGGACUGGGCCACGGCCCAGACUCCUGCGGGAGGCAGCAGUAGGGAAUCUUCCGCAAUGGGCGAAAGCCUGACGGAGCAACGCCGCGUGAGUGAAGAAGGAUUUCGGUUCGUAAAGCUCUGUUGUUAGGGAAGAAUGAUUGUGUAGUAACUAUACACAGUAGAGACGGUACCUAAUCAGAAAGCCACGGCUAACUACGUG